CUCAGACCUUGGUACCCACGAGUGUGGAGGAGGCAGGAAAGAAGGACGCUGCGUCUGGGGAGCACCCAGGCCGCAAGACGGGGCCCGGGCUUUCGUGAGCGGGAAGUGUGUGAUGCGCUUGGGAAAGGCAGGAGCGCCAGCGGUCGGGCUGCUCUCGGCUAAGAGGGGAGUCUGAGGCGGCGGCGAGGGUCGAAGGACCCCACGCAAGAUGGCAAGUAAAGAGAUGUUUGAAGAUACUGUGGAGGAGCGUGUCAUCAAUGAAGAAUAUAAAAUCUGGAAGAAGAAUACACCGUUUGUAUAUGACCUGGUUAGGACCCAUGCUCUUCAGUGGCCCAGUCUUACCGUUCAGCAGCUUCCUGAAUUGACUAAACCGGAAGGAAAAGAUUAUGACCUUCGUCGGCUAGUGCUGGGGACUGAUAGAUCUGAUGAGCAGAAUCAUCUGGUGGUUGCUUGAGUACAUAUUCCCAAUGAUGAUGUACAGUUUGAUGCUUCCCAUUGUGACAGUGACAAGGGUGAAUUUGGUGGCUUUGGUUCUGUAACAGGAAAAAUUGAAUGUGAAAUUAAAAUCAAUCAUGAAGGAGAAGUAAACCGUGCUUGUUACAUGCUGCAGAAUCCUCACAUCAUUGUGACAAAAACACCAUCUUCUGAUGUGUUGGUUUUUGACUAUACAAAACACCCUGCUAAACCAGACCCAAGUGGAGAAUGUAAUCUUGAUCUCAGGUUAAGAGGUCACCAGAAGGAAGGCUAUGGUCUCUCCUGGAAUUCGAAUUUGAGUGGACAUCUCCUAAAUGCAUCUCAUGACCAUACUGUCUGUCUGUGGGAUAUAAACCCAGGACCAAAGGAAGGCAAAAUCGUGGAUGCUAAAGCGAUCUUUACCGGUCACUCAGCUGUUGUGGAGGAUGUGGCCUGGCACCUGCUGCACGAGUCACUGUUUGGAUCUGUUGCUGAUAAUCAGAAACUGAUGAUAUGGGACACCAGGUCCAAUGCCACCUCCAAGCCGAGCCCCUUGGUGGAUGCACACAGUGCCGAAGUCAAUUGCCUCUCAUUGAAUCCCUACAGCGAAUUUAUUCUAGCCACCGGCUGUGCGGAUAAGACAGUAGCUUUACGGGAUCUACGUAACUUAAAAUUAAAACUCCAUACUUUCGAAUCUCAUAAAGAUGAAAAUUUCCAGGUCCACUGGUCUCCACAUAAUGAAACUAUUCUGGCUUCAAGUGGUACUGACCACCACCUGAAUGUGUGGGAUUUAAGUAAAAUUGGGGAAGAACAAUCAGCAGAAGAUGCAGAAGACGGGACUCCAGAACUCCUGUUUAUUCAUGGAGGACACACUGCCAAGAUUUCAGAUUUUAGUUGGAACCCCAAUGAGCCUUGGGUCAUUUGCUCCGUGUCUGAGGAUAACAUCAUGCAGAUAUGGCAAAUGGCUCAAAAUAUUUACAAUGAUGAAGAGUCGGAUGUCACGACAUCGGAACUGGAGGGACAAGGAUCUUAAACCCAAAGUAGGAGAGAUGUUUCUGUUGAAUGUAAUGCUACACGAAUGCUUGAUUUAUCAAGUGCCAAAAGACUUUGUAUAG